CUCACUAAAAAUGUUUUCAGAAACAAGUUUCUGUGAACUAUUUUCGUAACAUACUAGAUUGUAUUUCGAACGAGCCACCAUUAUGGUCAGUUUUGAAGUUUGGCAGAAGUCAGACCCACGUGACGCGUUUGUCAAACCAGCUGCCAUGUG